GUCUUUUUGUUAAAAAUUUAAAGUCUAACCUGCCCAAUGAUUAUUUUAAUGGCUGCGGUAUUUUGACCGUACAAAGGUAGCAUAAUCAUUAGUUUUUUAAUUGAAAACUUGUAUGAAUGGUUGAACGAAAAAAUUACUGUCUCAAUUUAAUUUUAUUAGAAUUUUAUAUUUAAGUUAAAAAGCUUAAAUAGAAUUAAAAGACGAGAAGACCCUAUAGAGUUUAAUAUUUAUUAAUUAUAAUAUAUAAGAAUUAAUGAAUAUUUAAUAAGUAUUUAAUUGGGGUGAUUAAUAAAUUUAUUUAACUUUAUUUUUUUUUAUAACAUUAAUUUAUGAUAAAUUGAUCCAUUAAUUAUGAUUAAAAGAUAAAAUUACCUUAGGGAUAACAGCGUAAUUUUUUUAAAGAGUUCUUAUCGAUAAAAAAGAUUGCGACCUCGAUGUUGGAUUAAAAUUAAUUUUUGGUGUAGAAGCUAAAUAUAUUAAGUCUGUUCGACUUUUAAUUUUUUACAUGAUCUGAGUUUAAAUCGGCGUGAGCCAGAUUGGUUUCUAUCUUUAAUAAUUUAAAAUAUUUUAGUACGAAAGGACCAAAUAUUAAUAAAAUUUAUUUAUUUUUUGAUUUU
rnacentral:rRNA from 1 species